UACGUAGGGGGCAAGCGUUGUCCGGAAUCAUUGGGCGUAAAGAGCGCGUAGGCGGCCCGGUAAGUCCGCUGUAAAAGUCCAGGGCUCAACCCUGGAAAGCCGGUGGAUACUGUCGGGCUAGAGUCCGGAAGAGGCGAGUGGAAUUCCUGGUGUAGCGGUGAAAUGCGCAGAUAUCAGGAAGAACACCCGUGGCUAAGGCGGCUCUCUAGUACGGUACUGACGCUGAGACGCGAAAGCGUGGGGAGCGAACCGG
rnacentral:rRNA from 1 species